rnacentral:misc_RNA from 1 species
AACCUAGCACACCUGCGGUGUGUACCUGCGGAAGGAUCAUUACAGAGUGUUCUAAACACCCUAAACCCCUGUGAACAUACCAGUCGUUGCUUCGGCGGGAUCGCCCCGGGCGCCUCACAGCGCCCCGGAACCAGGCGCCCGCCGGGGGAAACCAAACUCUUGUUUUGUAUAGUGGCUUACUCUGAGUGGCUCCUAGCGAGCAAAAAAUGUCAAAACUUUCAGCAACGGAUCUCAGAUCGG